rnacentral:lncRNA from 1 species
UCCCUUCAAGGCAUCUGGGAAGGAAAAAGAGAGAAAGAAGAAAAGUCCAGGGUCCUAAUUCCCCAAUGGAAUGGCCCUGAUGACUUAACUUUCUCCAUCUAGACCCGACAGGUGGUCUGCUUCCCAAGAGCACUAAGGAGUAGGGAUGGAGCUUUCAACACAGGGGUCUUUUGGAGGACACUUACCCAAACCAUAGCACAAACCAAUAUCCGUGUACAUCCAAAUAAAUAAGUAAAUUGUGAUAUUUCACAUUAUGAAACAAAUUAUCUAUAAAGAAGCAUGAAUUACAAUUCUCUGAAAAACAUACACAAGUUUAGAAAUAUAAUAUUCAGUGGAAACAUGCCAGACACUUAUUGCAUGUUUUCUUAUAUGAUUCGAAAAAAGGUGCAACUAAUGAUGGUUUUAGAAGGUGGGUGUUCACCUUCAAGGAAUAAUGCAGUAACUUAACAGGUAAAUGAGAGCACUUCUGGGAUGUUAGCAUUAUUUCUUUUCCCUUGAUCUUAGUACUGUUCCUUUUGGGAAUAUUUGUGUGACAGUGUACAUAGGAUUUGUAUAUUUUUCUGAUUUUUACCAUGCAUUUAUUUGAUUUAUAAAAUAAAUAAGAAAACAUUUCCAAAGAGCAGAAAAAAUCUUCCAGUAAUUAAAUGGACAAAACAUUAAUUCAUAGUUAGCAAAAGUUUAAAAAUU